rnacentral:piRNA from 1 species
UAGGAGACAAUCCAGGAAGGGCCAAA